rnacentral:rRNA from 1 species
AGCAGCCGCGGUAAUUCCAGCUCCAAUAGCGUAUAUUAAAGUUGUUGCAGUUAAAAAGCUCGUAGUUGAAUUUCGGGGUUAGUAGGUUGGUCAUGCCUCUGGUAUGUACUGGUCUCACUGAUUCCUCCUUCCUGAUGAGCCGUAAUGCCAUUAAUUUGGUGUUGCGGGGAAUUUGGACUGUUACUUUGAAAAAAUUAGAGUGUUUAAAGCAAGCUAACGCUUGAAUACAUUAGCAUGGAAUAAUGAAAUAGGACGUUCGAUCCUAUUUUGUUGGUUUCUAGGAUUGACGUAAUGAUUAAUAGGGAUAGUUGGGGGCAUUAGUAUUCAAUUGUCAGAGGUGAAAUUCUUGGAUUUAUUGAAGACUAACUACUGCGAAAGCAUUUGCCAAGGAUGUUUUCAUUAAUCAAGAACGAAAGUUAGGGGAUCGAAGACGAUCAGAUACCGUCGUAGUCUUAACCAUAAACUAUGCCGACUAGGGAUCGGAUGAUGUUAAUUUUUAAUGACUCAUUCGGCGCUUAAC